GUCUGCACGGGUAGUUUGAUGUGCAGUCUGGCCUGCCCCCUGAAGUUUUUAAAGGGCCGCGGUAUUUGGACCGUGCUAAGGUAGCAUAAUAAAUAGUCUUUUAAUUGAAGUCUAGUAUGAAUGGUCGGACAUGAAGUAAGCUGUUUUAACUUUGAUGUUUGAAUUUUACCUUUAAGUGAAAAGGCUUAAAUUAAAUGGUGGGACGAUAAGACCCUAUAAAGCUUACAUUUUAUUCUUCGGUUGUGGGAUUUAAGGUUUCUUAUUCUUAUAGAGUAAAGUGUUUCGUUGGGGCGACGGGAAUAUAAAAAUAAGUAACUGUUUUUGCUUGAAAAAUACAUCUUUGUAGGCGAGUUGAUCCUUCUUUAAAGAUUACAAGAUUUAAGUUACUUUAGGGAUAACAGCGUAAUUUAUCUUGAGAGUUCAUAUCGACAGAUAUAGUUGCGACCUCGAUGUUGAAUUAAAAUAUCCUCCAGGUGUAGCAGUUUUGGUGGUAGGUCUGUUCGACCUUUAAAAUUUUACAUGAUUUGAGUUCAGACCGGCGUGAG
rnacentral:rRNA from 1 species